GUGUUCUUCCGGUGGCAUCUA
rnacentral:miRNA from 1 species